rnacentral:rRNA from 1 species
CCUACGGGAGGCUGCAGUGAGGAAUAUUGGUCAAUGGACGAGAGUCUGAACCAGCCAAGUAGCGUGAAGGAUGACUGCCCUAUGGGUUGUAAACUUCUUUUAUAUGGGAAUAAAAUGUUCCACGUGUGGGAUUUUGUAUGUACCAUAUGAAUAAGGAUCGGCUAACUCCGUGCCAGCAGCCGCGGUAAUACGGAGGAUCCGAGCGUUAUCCUGAUUUAUUGGGUUUAAAGGGAGCGUAGGUGGAUUGUUAAGUCAGUUGUGAAAGGUUGCGGCUCAACCAUAAAAUUGCAGUUGAAACUGGCAGUCUUGAGUACAGUAGAGGUGGGCGGAAUUCGUGGUGUAGCGGUGAAAUGCUUAGAUAUCACGAAGAACUCCGAUUGCGAAGGCAGCUCACUGGACUGCAACUGACACUGAGGCUCGAAAGUGUGGGUAUCAAACAGGAUUAGAUACCCCUGUAGUC